CCUACGGGGGGAGCAGUGGGGAAUAUUGGACAAUGGGGGCAACCCUGAUCCAGCCAUGCCGCGUGUGUGAAGAAGGCCCUCGGGUUGUAAAGCACUUUCAGUGAGGAAGAACGCCUGGUGGUUAAUACCCAUCAGGAAAGACAUCACUCACAGAAGAAGCACCGGCUAACUCCGUGCCAGCAGCCGCGGUAAUACGGAGGGUGCGAGCGUUAAUCGGAAUUACUGGGCGUAAAGCGCGCGUAGGUGGCUUGAUAAGCCGGUUGUGAAAGCCCCGGGCUCAACCUGGGAACGGCAUCCGGAACUGUCAAGCUAGAGUGCAGGAGAGGAAGGUAGAAUUCCCGGUGUAGCGGUGAAAUGCGUAGAGAUCGGGAGGAAUACCAGUGGCGAAGGCGGCCUUCUGGACUGACACUGACACUGAGGUGCGAAAGCGUGGGUAGCAAACAGGAUUAGAUACCCUUGUAGUC
rnacentral:rRNA from 1 species